rnacentral:rRNA from 1 species
AGCCCAAACCAGAGAGCUUGCUCUCUGGGGUUGUGGGACGUCUCACAUGGAGUUACAAAGGAACCGGUUAAACGAAGAGGUCUGGAAAGGCCCGCCAAAGAAGGUAAAAGCCCUGUAAUUAAAAGCCCGUUCCCUCCGAGACGGAUCCCGAGUAGUGCGGGGCACGUGAAACCCCGUAUGAAUCCGGCAGGACCAUCUGCCAAGGCUAAAUACUUCCUAGCGACCGAUAGUGAAGCAGUACCGUGAGGGAAAGGUGAAAAGCACCCCGG